UUUUAAGUUUGUUCAGUUCCUCCACGUCCUUGAUGAUUAUCAUUGGAUCUGGAUACCAGUGAUCGCUCUUCCUUUCUACAUACCUGCAUUUGGUAAUGCAGAGGCAAAUCAGAAUGUCGGGCCAGUUUCCUAAAUAUCAGGCAGCAUGACAUGGGAAAAGGGAAAGUGAAGAAUAAUAAAUUAAAGGAUAUAUGCAUCAUCAUACCGUUUUAUUUUCUCUUUGAAUGUGGCAAUCU
rnacentral:lncRNA from 1 species